rnacentral:rRNA from 1 species
UACGAAGGGUGCAAGCGUUACUCGGAAUUACUGGGCGUAAAGCGUGCGUAGGUGGUGAGUUAAGUCUGUCGUGAAAGCCCCGGGCUCAACCUGGGAAUGGCGAUGGAUACUGGCUCGCUAGAGUGCGGUAGAGGAGAGUGGAAUUCCCGGUGUAGCAGUGAAAUGCGUAGAGAUCGGGAGGAACAUCAGUUGCGAAGGCGACUAACUGGUCAGAGACUGACGCUGAGGCACGAAAGCGUGGGGAGCAAACAGGG